GGGCGAGCAGCACAGUGAUAGUGCGCUUGGUUUACAACGAAGAGGUCACUGGUUCGAACCCAGUGUCGCCCACCA
rnacentral:tRNA from 1 species